GCAAGUAGGUGGUGGUGAGACGGUGUGCGGCGUUGGGCGGGUGGCUGUGCGGGAUUUAUUGGUGUCGAAGUGCUGGGAGGCGGCGUGACGGGUCCACUGUGAAAACCCGCAGCUCAGCUGCGUGCGUGCAGUCGAUACGGGCAGGCUAGAGUUCGGUUGGGGAGACUGGUAUUCCUGGUGUAGCGGUGAAAUGCGCAGAGAUCAGGAGGAACACCGUUGGCGAAUGCGGGUCUCUGAGCCGAUACUGACGCUGAGGAGCGAAAGCGUGGGGAGCGAACAGGGUUAGAUACCCGAGUAGUC
rnacentral:rRNA from 1 species